rnacentral:rRNA from 1 species
GAUGAACGCUAGCGGCAGGCCUAAUACAUGCAAGUCGGACGGGAUUCAGGAGCUUGCUUCUGAUGAGAGUGGCGCACGGGUGCGUAACACGUAUGUAACCUACCUUUAUCAGGGGGAUAGCCUCUCGAAAGAGAGAUUAAGCCCGCAUAAAAUCACAGCACAGCAUUGUGUAAUGAUCAAAUAUUUAUAGGAUAAAGAUGGGCAUGCGGAACAUUAGCUAGAUGGCGGGGUAACGGCCCACCAUGGCAACGAUGUUUAGGGGAUCUGAGAGGAUGGCCCCCCACACUGGUACUGAGACACGGACCAGACUCCUACGGGAGGCAGCAGUAAGGAAUAUUGGUCAAUGGGCGGAAGCCUGAACCAGCCAUGCCGCGUGCAGGAAGACGGCCCUACGGGUUGUAAACUGCUUUUAUACGGGAAUAAACCCAGAUACGUGUAUCUGGCUGAAUGUACUGGAAGAAUAAGGAUCGGCUAACUCCGUG